rnacentral:rRNA from 1 species
AAAUUGAAGAGUUUGAUCAUGGCUCAGAUUGAACGCUGGCGGCAGGCCUAACACAUGCAAGUCGAACGGUAACAGGAAGCAGCUUGCUGCUUUGCUGACGAGUGGCGGACGGGUGAGUAAUGUCUGGGAAACUGCCUGAUGGAGGGGGAUAACUACUGGAAACGGUAGCUAAUACCG